GGCAAUACUAAAAUUUAGAUCGAAAAAGAAUUACCGUAAUAGGAAGGACAUUACCUGGAUCAGAGUUCAGUGUCCUCAGCAAAACAAUUCGGUCGAUUGCGGAUUUUUUGUAUUGAGAUUUAUGAGAGAUAUCAUUGCGUUGAAUCGUAUAGACAUCCCAAAAAUGUACUUUGAGGAAUACAAAUCUUACUCAAGAGCUCAUUUGGAUGAAAUGAAGGAUGAAUUGUGUCAAUUCAUUGUUGAUCAAAGAAUCAUAUAGCUAGGUUGUAUAUUGUUGUACAUAUAUGUAUGGAA